AGUUCUUACCUGCUAGUGACAUCACAGCCAUUAUAAUGUCACAGUGCAACGCACUGCUGGUGUGUUUGUGGCCGUGUUGCUAAGACAGACCUACCGUGCUGCCAGCAUACCUGUACUAUCGCCUAGAAGUUCCAGCUCAUCACAAACACUUUCAAACUGUCAGAGAUCAGUCACUCGAGGACUCUGGAUUUUGGCAGCACAUACAGGGAUAUAUUUAUUAAACGACUGCCCGGAGAAAUGGUAAUGACUUCAAAGAAAGCUUUGCGCAGGUGCUAAUGAAAUCGCAGCACAAUUCCCACCCCAGUUGCCGACAAAGAUGGCCACUGGCAUGCAUGUCAAGCUUUGUUCCUUCUCAGCCCUGAAUUUUUAUUCCAAAGGAGGAAGAAGAAAAAUACAGCCCAGUUUG